UACGAAGGGGGCUAGCGUUGCUCGGAAUCACUGGGCGUAAAGGGUGCGUAGGCGGGUCUUUAAGUCAGGGGUGAAAUCCUGGAGCUCAACUCCCAGAACUGCCUUUGAUACUGAGGAUCUUGAGUUCGGGAGAGGUGAGUGGAACUGCGAGUGUAGAGGUGAAAUUCGUAGAUAUUCGCAAGAACACCAGUGGCGAAGGCGGCUCACUGGCCCGAUACUGACGCUGAGGCACGAAAGCGUGGGGAGCAAA
rnacentral:rRNA from 1 species